rnacentral:rRNA from 1 species
UCAUCUGUUUCUUAAAUAUUUAUUGAAUUUGACUUUUAAGUGAAAAGGCUUAAAUAAAUCAAAAAGACGAUAAGACCCUAUAAAUCUUUACAAUAAAUAUAUUUUAUAUUUUAACUUAUAAGUGUAUAAGAAAUAAAAAUAUAGAUUUGUUUCGCUGGGGCGGCGUAGAUAUAUAAAUAAACUGUCUAUAAUUUAAAUACAGUAAUUAUUGCUUAAUAUAAAUUGAUCCUUAAAUAGAUUAAAAGAUUAAGAUACUUUAGGGAUAACAGCGUUA